rnacentral:misc_RNA from 1 species
GUGGGAACGCUUGUUUGAUGAAGGGUAUAGGGCAGAUGUUAUAAUUCAUACAGACAAGGGUGGGUCCAUCUAUUCCCAUGCCAGUAUUCUUGGCAUGGCUUCUCCAGUCAUGAAAGGCAUGUUAAAAGCAAGCAAAAGGCAGCAGUCGACAACGAUCAAUCUCAAUUCAGGGCGUUCCUCACGAUGCUAUUCGAGUUUUUAUUCGAUUCUUAU